AUCAAAGAUUAAUUGCUGCAUGUUCUAAAGUUUCAAUCAUCUAAGCAUAUCUAGUGAAGUGGCGUGAAGGAAGAAGGUUCAAAUUCCAAGAAAACGGAAGGAUCACAAGACCGAGGUAAAUCCUCGACUUAGGCGAUUGGACGGCUUGGAACAUGCACACUUGAU